rnacentral:rRNA from 1 species
GAUGAACGCUGGCGGCGUGCUUAACACAUGCAAGUCGAACGGAAAGGCCCAAGCUUGCUUGGGUACUCGAGUGGCGAACGGGUGAGUAACACGUGGGUGAUCUGCCCUGCACUUCGGGAUAAGCCUGGGAAACUGGGUCUAAUACCGGAUAGGACCACUUCUUGGAUGUUGUGGUGGGAAGUUUUUUCGGUGUGGGAUGAGCUCGCGGCCUAUCAGCUUGUUGGUGGGGUAAUGGCCUACCAAGGCGUCGACGGGUAGCCGGCCUGAGAGGGUGUACGGCCACAGUGGGACUGAGAUACGGCCCAGACUCCUACGGGAGGCAGCAGUGGGGAAUAUUGCACAAUGGGCGCAAGCCUGAUGCAGCGACGCCGCGUGGGGGAUGACGGCCUUCGGGUUGUAAACUCCUUUCGCUAGGGACGAAGCGUUUUGUGACGGUACCUGGAGAAGAAGCACCGGCUAACUACGUG